GCCCGGCUAGCUCAAUCGGUAGAGCGUGAGACUCUUAGUAUUCACGUUCUGAGGACGGUGUACCCCUAAAUUCCGUUAUCUCAAGGUUGUGGGUUCGACCCCCACGUCGGGCU